GACGAACGCUGGCGGCGUGCUUAACACAUGCAAGUCGAACGGAAAGGCCCUGCUUUUGUGGGGUGCUCGAGUGGCGAACGGGUGAGUAACACGUGAGUAACCUGCCCUUGACUUUGGGAUAACUUCAGGAAACUGGGGCUAAUACCGGAUAGGAGCUCCUGCUGCAUGGUGGGGGUUGGAAAGUUUCGGCGGUUGGGGAUGGACUCGCGGCUUAUCAGCUUGUUGGUGGGGUAGUGGCUUACCAAGGCUUUGACGGGUAGCCGGCCUGAGAGGGUGACCGGCCACAUUGGGACUGAGAUACGGCCCAGACUCCUACGGGAGGCAGCAGUGGGGAAUAUUGCACAAUGGGCGGAAGCCUGAUGCAGCAACGCCGCGUGCGGGAUGACGGCCUUCGGGUUGUAAACCGCUUUCGCCUGUGACGAAGCGUGAGUGACGGUAAUGGGUAAAGAAGCACCGGCUAACUACGUGCCAGCAGCCGCGGUGAUACGUAGGGUGCGAGCGUUGUCCGGAUUUAUUGGGCGUAAAGGGCUCGUAGGUGGUUGAUCGCGUCGGAAGUGUAAUCUUGGGGCUUAACCCUGAGCGUGCUUUCGAUACGGGUUGACUUGAGGAAGGUAGGGGAGAAUGGAAUUCCUGGUGGAGCGGUGGAAUGCGCAGAUAUCAGGAGGAACACCAGUGGCGAAGGCGGUUCUCUGGGCCUUUCCUGACGCUGAGGAGCGAAAGCGUGGGGAGCGAACAGGCCUAGAUACCCUGGUAGUCCACGCUGUAAACGGUGGGUACUAGGUGUGGGGUCCAUUCCACGGGUUCCGUGCCGUAGCUAACGCUUUAAGUACCCCGCCUGGGGAGUACGGCCGCAAGGCCAAAACUCAAAGGAAUUGACGGGGCCCCGCACAAGCGGCGGAGCAUGCGGAUUAAUUCGAUGCAACGCGUAGAACCUUACCUGGGUUUGACAUGGAUCGGGAGUGCUCAGAGAUGGGUGUGCCUCUUUUGGGGUCGGUUCACAGGUGGUGCAUGCCUGUCGUCAGCUCGUGUCGUGAGAUGUUGGGUUAAGUCCCGCAACGAGCGCAACCCUUGUUCACUGUUGCCAGCACGUUAUGGUGGGGACUCAGUGGAGACCGCCGGGGUCAACUCGGAGGAAGGUGGGGAUGACGUCAAGUCAUCAUGCCCCUUAUGUCCAGGGCUUCACGCAUGCUACAAUGGCUGGUACAGAGAGUGGCGAGCCUGUGAGGGUGAGCGAAUCUCGGAAAGCCGGUCUCAGUUCGGAUUGGGGUCUGCAACUCGACCUCAUGAAGUCGGAGUCGCUAGUAAUCGCAGAUCAGCAACGCUGCGGUGAAUACGUUCCCGGGGCU
rnacentral:rRNA from 1 species